CAAGCUAAUAUUAGCUAUGGGUGAUAAAACACGCUGUAAAGACGGAAGACAAAGAAGCGAGAAAAUGGACGCCUUGGCCUAAACUCUCAAACCAAAUCGACAAAGUAAUCAGGGAGACAAACACUCUCCGACGAACUGCACGGACCCGGAGCCCCAUCGUGACACCUAGAGGCCGAUUAAAGAUCCUGCAAACUCCCUCAGAAAAGUAGUGAUACUUUACCUGUUUUAGUCUAUUUAUCCUCCCGGUUAACUCUGUCGAAAGUAUCUAAUGUCCACUAGAAAGUUUACAAAGCUUAUAAGACACGCAGAACUCUUCGCAGUUUGUUUUUAACCCCUCUCCCGCUUUGGUAGAGUAGCCUCUGCCACAAAAUGGCAGUUGGGAACUCAGUGCGCCUGUGCGGCCGCUGGGGGGUGGUGUCGAAGCUGGUGCAUACACCCUGAUUGGCCAGGAGGGGCGCCUCGUUGGAAUACAUUGAAUUCCACUUAUUAGGAAUAAGAAGACUUGAACCGUCAGCAGCACGAACCUCACUAUUCAGAAAACCGUUUAUUCUACAAGUCCAAUGUUGAUAUUAAAUAUAGAAAAUGAACACAGAUGUACUAUCAUUUAAAAUCAAACCUGUUUUAAAUUAUGUGUAAUGUCAUGGGGAGUUGUGAACAUUUGCUUAGCACUGCAGUAAUAUAUUUUUUUCUUAAAGUGUUUGUGUGUUUAUAUUGAAUAAAUUAAUAGUCGGUCAUGUAGGCAGACACCUUUGUCAUUUAAUAUGUCACAAUCAUUUGUGGCCAAUGACGUCUUUUCGUGAAUGACCUGACUUCAAUUAAGGUCUUAUCAUAUAAAUUGUUUUGACAUCUAACCUUAAAAAGCUCCAAAUGCAGAAUAAAUAUGUGCAACUGAUAUUUGGUACAUGUGAUAAAUAUAUCUAAAUGAAAUUAAAUAUGGGAUUUUCUAUUGUAAUAGCCUAUGUCCUGCUCGAUAAAGAGCCUCAGUGAAGAAGAAUAUUGGCUGUGCUAAAUCACAUUUGCAUCCUCCAUUUCAAACUUGUGUUUUCUACAACUACUAUGUUACCACAAUGAAAAAGACGUACAUUGUGAUGGGGACAAUGAUUUCCAAACUCCAUUUCCAGCAUCUGUUAGUUGUUUGUUUAUAUUAAUCUAGACCCAAAGGAUGUGAUGAGAGCCGUGUUUUAGAACAUGAACAUCCAUUGUUGUAGACAUGAUGUUUGUACAAAUGGUAACUUGCCCUUAAAUGAAGACAUUAGUAGUUUUAGUAUCUUAAGGAAAAAUGAAGGUAUAUUGUAUAUUGAUGUCAUUCAUAAUUAUCAGACCAUAAUGAAUAGCAACAAUAUAUGAUAAUGACAUUUGUUUACUUUGGAAUAGUUAUCAGUAAUAAAGGUUUUUAGUAUAAUAACAGAAUUUUGUUAUUCCUUUAUGAUUUGAUUCACAAAAUUAUACACAAACAAAUGCCACUGCCUUAUUUGUAGAGGUCACAAAUCCUGUUAUUUACAUUUUGAUGUUUAAUCAUAACUGAUGCACAAUUUAAACACAUCAGUAUGUGGUAAUGUGCCAAUAAUAUAUAUUUUAAUUGUUAAGGUUCUUCACACUAGACAUGUCACAUUUCGUUCAUUCAUGUGAUUUGGACAUUUAUCGUGUCAUGUAAGACAAAUGAAUGACAAUACAAAGUCCAUCUAACAACAUAAUGUAGAAAUACAAGUCAUUAAAAAACUACACCUAUAAAGAAAAAAUGUUAUUCAUUCAGCAAUAUUUAGUGCAGAGUAAUACACUCAUACCUUAAUCCACACCUAGAGUUUUUACCAGCCAACAGUAACCAUAAAGCUCUUUGAGGAAAAAUAUGGAAGGCCUUUAGUUUAUCACUUGAAUGAAAAGACAUUUCACAGCAUCAGUGUUUUCAGCCUUAAAUAAAGUCUUCUUCUGUACAGCUAUAUUGUCUAUGGUUUGCUUCCUGCAACACAGUGAAGGCAACCUGCUCACCAGCCUGCAAACUGAUGUCCACACUAAACUGUGCCUCUGCAAAACAACAUGGCUAUAGGUCACUAUCUUCACUUUUCAUAAUGUUUUCAGCAGGCCUAGAGCUGAUCCCAGCAGUCGAGAUUAAAUGCACCGUACAUCUUGGAAAGACCACGUGAACCCAUGGCCAUGCUGCAACUCUGCUAAGCACCAUAUAGCUCAGUGGAAACGGGUCAGGAAUAUAGAUUUUUCUGCACAAACCCAACGUGUGAUUUAGUUUUUUGUCUUACAUAUCAUCACAUACAGUAAAAUGUACACAAAAUGUAAAACGUUUGUUUGACCAUUAAGCAGAAUCACUGACUAAAACAAUCCCCGUUAAUUUCAUUGAGUUCAUGGCAGCAGUAUUAUUCUUUCAGUAAAAAGGAAUUUAUAUGAAAAAGUGCAAUAAGUUCAUAAUGUUACUCAAAACAAGUAAAUGAGGGUUCUGUGUUACUGUACAGUCUAAUGAUAGGUUGAAGACUCGUCAACUUUGAAGUCUAUGCAUAGUGUUGUAAAUCAAAUAAAACAUAUGUUUCAGCAGUCUUUGUAAUGCAGAUUUGCUGUAAUUUCUAUCUACAGUAUUAUGUAAAUUAGAUAAUCUCAACCGUUCUUAUAUUUGUGCAUUGUAUUAGAAUAUAUUUCUAUCUUUUACAUCUGUUUUAUUUGAAACAUACUACACUAUGUUUUGACAAUAAUGCAAUACAAUAUUCAGUAUUUGCAAGCAUAUCACCAUUCAGCCACUCAUAUUAGGGUAAAAUAGACUUUGAUAUAAAAAAUGAUAUAAUGAUAUAUAAUUUUUUUUACAAUCUUUGGCACUUACACAAAAGAAAAAUAGACUUAAAGUAAGUUUGUCUAUAUUUGUGCCUUUGACAGUGUGUUAGAAAGCAGUGCUGGCCAUGCUGCCUGGGGCGAAAAUACUUGGGAUGCUGUCCUGAGACAUUUCAACAUGUCUGUGUGCCAUCUUUCCUUCCUCACCUGCUCCACACACAACACAAAACAACAGAAUCAAGAACAACAAACCUAUCAAGGAUUUCAAUAAUCAUAGUAAAAAGACAGAAAACAAGAAUGUUUGCAUUACCAAGCAGUAGUAGUGCUUGUUUGGCAGCCUCCCUGACUUCAUCCUUGUCUGUCCUACACAGAUACACUAGCUGGUCAAUGCUUUCUUUGGCCUGCAAUGACAAUGGCAAAGAAAAGCAUGGAAUACAGUGGGCAACGCUGUAUUUUGACAGUAGUUUAUAAGAGCAGAGCAUCUCUAGAUAUCAACACAGAGUGCGUGUCUUACCUUGAGACAAGAUAAGGCCUUGCAUCCACACACCCUCAUUUCCACAUUCUCAUCUUCCAGCAGCUCCAAACAGCUGACCAAAGCCUGAUGAACAGAUGCUUUUUAGAAACAGCAAAGUCUGCUGCAUGUUAUAGUUUAACAGAAUAAAAUUACAAUUAAACAAAAGUCUUCACAGUUUAAUUUCUUACUGAUUACUGAGAUGUUGGUGAAUUAGUGACUUAACAGCAAAGACUGAGCAAAUCUGUGCUCUGUACUAAAACGGCAAUAAUAAUGGUAAUGCAAACAGUAGGACCCAUGCAGGGAAUGCAGAAAAUGAUGUGUAUGUUGGUGGUGAGUCCAUCACUUUAGGACCACUGCAUUAUAUUGGCAGCUUGACAUUUGGUACUGCUGUUUUAUUUUGAAGGUCACUCACUACAGUACCUUGACUCCCGCCACUAAUCAUGUACACCUGUUGUUAAUAACCGGCUCUCUGAAUUGAACCGCCUGCUCAGGCCCUGGCCGAUGGCCAGGUUGUCUUCACUACCCUGACAUCCAAGUCCAAGAAGCCCAUCUUACAUAUGGAGCCUUGUUCAUGCCAUAUAAUAGAGUGCUUUGUAAUCUUGACCAUGACAUGUCUCUGCUCAUGUUUUGUCCAAGAGAAGUGCAAUUUAUAUGGAUCCUAAUAUGGUAUAAGUUUAUGUUCAGGAAACUGCAUUUACUCAUCCGUUUAGGAACUGUUAGGAAAGAUUUAGAGUAUGUUUGUUUUGUGUUUUUUUUCCCAGGAUGCUGUGUUGCUAGGUGUACCCGUGAGGUUCUCUCAAUGUUUCCUAGCUCUUCUUCAUCAUCUUCCUUUCUCAACGUGUUCCCGGCUAUCCUUCCAUUCUGCUUGGGUUUAAAUGUAGUAAAUAAAAAGUUGUGAUGUGAUUAACUGUUAUUUUACCUUCUUACCUCUGUGCCCACUUCAGAGCACGCUAUUACAUAUGUAGAGCUCAUGGAGUCUAAUUUACUAUUCUAAUAAAUUCUAUUGAGCUGUGGUUUUGAGUCCUGUAUUAACUUAAUUCAUAACCACCCACACAUGCAUACUACAUAGUUGUUGAACACACCAGCUCUCUUUGUUUGGGUUGUGCAGCCAGACUUCUCAGUAAAGAACUGGUGGCAGCUGACACUUUGCCUCUUGGGUCUCCCAGUAAUUUGACCACAGCGUGAAGUCCUUCUCUCCCAAGGCUGCUCUCUGCAGGUUGCCGCAGAGUUUGGACAAUCACAUCCUGGUUUCCUGAAGCCAGCCUGUGCACCAGCCACACUGGAAGGUUUGUCAUCCUCCAGGACACUGUUGACUUUGUACGUGGAGCUGAGCGUUGAGGACGAGGAGUCUCCAGAGCAAAAUGAGAUGUUGUCCAAAUCCAUCUGGUAAACGUGCAGGCAGCACCUGGGGAACAAUAUACACAUGAGAAGCAGCAGCGCCUCGUAGACCUGAUCCACUCGCUCAGGUUGAGGAAUCUUAGGUGGCAGAUUGGACUUGGUGGACAUAGUGAACAUUUUGCUGGAUCUGCUGGGCUUUCUGCUGAGACAUGGAGUGUUCAACACUGACAGAUUC